CAGCCGCCGCGGGAAUACGAAGGGGGCUAGCGUUGCUCGGAAUGACUGGGCGUAAAGGGCGCGUAGGCGGCGAUCAAAGUCAGGCGUGAAAUUCCUGGGCUCAACCUGGGGGCUGCGUUUGAUACUUGGUUGCUUGAGUGGGGAAGAGGGUCGUGGAAUUCCCAGUGUAGAGGUGAAAUUCGUAGAUAUUGGGAAGAACACCGGUGGCGAAGGCGGCGACCUGGUCCUUUACUGACGCUGAGGCGCGAAAGCGUGGGGAGCAAACAGGAUUAGAUACCCCCGUAGUCCCUGUCUCUUAUAC
rnacentral:rRNA from 1 species